rnacentral:lncRNA from 1 species
UACUGCCACAGUACAACCUGGUGCCUCCACUAUAUCAUCCGGCACAGCCAUAGGGCCACCUGGUCCCUCCCUAGCACAAUUCAGUUCCUCUUCCAUGGGAUCCAAUUCCACCCAUAAUGGACCCCGACUAUAUUGAAUGGUACAAAAGACUAAACUCAUCUACCUUUGUAGGUGUAUCCUCUUUUGAAAAGAUCAAGUAUUCUUGGGGUA